CCAGCUCCAAGAGUGUAUAUUAAAGUUGUUGCGGUUAAAAAGCUCGUAGUUGGACUUUGGGUAGGGGCGUGCGGUCCCCGGCGGGCGACCGUCGGGAUCGAGGCCGUGCGUUUCCGUCCCCGUUCUCGGAACGCAAACGGCGGCGGAAGCCGUCGGUUCCGUAGGGUUUACUUUGAAUAAAUUAGGGUGUUCAAAGCAGGCGAAUCGCCUUGAAUACAUUAGCAUGGGAUAAUGAAAGAUGACCUUCUUUUCGGUCUAUACUUUAUUGGUUUCUAAGGCCGAGGUAAUGAUUGAUAGGGACGGUCGGGGUCGCUCGUAUUCAGUGGUCAGAGGUGAAAUUCUAGGACCCAUUGAGGACAAACGAAUGCGAAGGCAUUCGACAAGGAUGUUUUCA
rnacentral:rRNA from 1 species